UACGCUCCCAGGCAGUCACAAAGAUUAUUCAACUUCUAGAGAAAUUGUAGCAGUGAUGAGUUUAAAUAAUCAUAAGCAUUGUUUUAGCAGCUCAGAGAAAAAAAUUAUUGCGGGGAGACCAAAACAAUGCGUUCUCAAUUUUUGUUGAUAUUUAGCCUCUUGGUUAAAACUAACUUCGCCUUAUUCAUCGAGUUUCAUUAGCGGCACUUCGCACCCUACAUCGUCAAAAUCGAGGAUUCAUUCAUGGAAGUAUGAAUUCGGACAUUCCUAGUCGAAAAAGUCAUCGUAUGUAAGUAUAUAUAAAGGCAUAAAUUAAAACGAUGAAUUUUUUCCAUAUUAAUUUUGCCGGAAAUAGCGUUUAGCCUAUACGUCCUUUAUAAACUGUUGCUCUACUAAGACUUGAAAUCUGUAAGUAUAUGUUUUCGGGUUUUAAAAGACUGCGGUUCAUUUUUUAAUUAUACCACCUUCAGUUGGAAUUAUGUGUAAGGGCCGCUAUAUUAUAUACUUUUUUCUGUUGUAUUUAUGAAACUUUCUUAUUGCUAAAGUAUAUUUAUUUCUAUAUAUUAAACUAGAUUUCAAUUCCAAUAUUCACAUUCAACAAAAGAUACAGAUUUUGUUACUAAAUUUUUUAUCUUAUUUUCUUCAAUUUUCAGCAAUUCUAAAAAUACUCUGAAACAAAGAAAGAUACGCACACACAGGUUCACAUUUUGUAUUGAAGAAAAAACUUGGACUCUUGUGGAAAAUUAAAUCUCUCUUUAAACAACCUCAUGACAGCGAACAACUCGCGAGAAUUCCGAGUACCAAAAAUGUGCCUUGCUGUUGAUCUAUUCAACUUGAGUAACUUUUGCAUUUUGGAAUGAAAUAACGCAGUUGCUGAGCAUAUAGUAAUCAUUCCUUGCGAAAAUGAGGGCACUUUUUUAUUGAUCGAGAUUAAUUGCGCACGUAUGACAAUGCCAAGUCUUAUCUUAACUUUAAAAUACAAAGGAAUCAUUGAUGAAAGUAAACGCCAAUCAAAUAAUAUGCAUAUGUUCCAUUGUCCACUCUCUCUGCGAUAUUUUGUGCGUCACACAGUUCGUACUUUCUGAAUGUACAAGUAUGUGUAUACUCUAGAUAAUAUCAAAAAUGGGGGCUCAUAUUGGAGGAAGUCAAGUAUUAUUAUCUGUGUUAAUCUAUUCAACUUGAGUAUUCGGAAUGAAAUGACGCAAGUUGCUAAUUGUAAGCAUAUAUAUAACGUUGAGCUGACCUUGCGAAAAAAUAAGAGCAUAUUUUUUGUUGGGAAAAGAAAUGAUCGAGAUUAACCGGGUACGCGUAUACGCUUUAAAUUUAUUGCUAUAAAGAUAAGCAAUGUGAUAAAAGAAAACGUCAUCAAACAAUAUGAAAACAAUGUUCGAUUUUCCUCUCUGUGCUGAUAGUUUGUGGCACGCACAGUUCGUACUUUUUUAAUAUAAGUUUAUAUAUAAUCUAUAGAUGUAUCUACUGGCUUGAUAUAAUUUCGAUAAUUUCAAAUGUCAAAUAACCAGCCCGUUAUUGGCACGCAUUGUAAGGAGUGUUAAAGCUAGCAAUGGGAAGAUAUUUGAGCAUUUCUGGGAUCUAUUACUAGCUAUUUAAUGUCAGAGAGAGAGAGAGAGAGAGAGAGAGAGAGAGAGAGAGAGAGAGAGAGAGAGAGCGUCGGAUAAGGCAUCAUCCUGGCCUUAUCAGGCUUCUCUGCUGUGGCACCAAAAAAUGAGGUCAUAUAUUGCCUCAGGUUACGCAAAAACAUCACGUUUUUCGGCUCUUGCAAUUAAAGCUUCAAUUAAUUCUAUAGUGUAUAUUUUUCGUCUCUUUCCGUUUUUUUUUUCAAAUUUCCAUUAUUAUCUAGGCAGUAAAAGCAUUAGAAAAUUUCCUAAAUCCAUUUAAGGAAUGUUUUCAUAAUAAUUAGGUUUUUAAUCAAUGUUUGCUCUGGUUUGCUUUCUACCUUUCAGCUCCUUACGUCGGUAAGAGAUGAUGAGGACGCACGAGAAUGAUAAAUGAUGUCCAAAUCAACCCUGCGCUGGCAGCACAACAACAUGCAGUGCGAUCUUGAAUUCACCUUUAUAUAAGCAGACAGAAAAGCAGAAAACUUUUAUAUGUCCCGUCUAUAUAGUUUGCAAAAAUGAAGAACAAAGUUGCGAUCAUCAGGACUACCACCAGCCCGUUCGAAGAAAAGCCAUCCACUAUUAAUAAAAUAGUACUCUUACCAACGUCAGCAAGACCAUUCAACCCUGAUGCUGAAGAACCAAAUCAAUAGACGUUUUUUUUCAUCAAAAUUUUAUUGAUCACUAUGCGGGCAUUCUAAAACAAAUUUAUUGAUAUAUGUAAUUUAUUUGAUAUAAUUUGAUAUAAGUAUAUGUGAAUCAAUAUUUGAGAAGUUAACAGAGCGCAUAUAGACGUGUUUUUGGCCGUAAUCACUAGCAAGAUUAAUAAACCAAAAAAACUAGAUUUUUUUUGCCGAUUUAGGUCCCAUCGGCUCCGAACAUAUUUGGGUUUGAUUGGUGCGAAAAAAUCGGCAAAAAAUUUAGUUUUUUUUGGUUUAUUAAUCUUGCUAGCGAUUUUUGCUGUAGGCCAAAAACACGUCUUCAUGAAAUUCACCUAGACCACCUUGACAAUCAGGUUAUUAAAGUGGAAUGAUACUGGGCAACAAUUGAAAACUAUUUAAAUUGUUGGAUGCCUUAAACAAUUGACCGAUAAACAAUUUGUUCAAAAAUUUGCAAUAAUAAAAAAAUGACAUUCCUACAAUAAAAAUUCAAAUUUUGCCAAUUUUCUCCAAAAUUUACAGUGCUCGAACAUAUUUUCUUUUUUCUUGGCAUAUUUCGAUUCCUCUCGUCGAGAUUUACGGUGUAUGCCACUUAUUGGGGAAACUCUUGGUUUUGAAAUUAAAUCGGAUUUCAAGUAAGGAAACAGCCAUUGCCAUUUGAAAAGCACGCUAACUUUCCAGCCAAUUUUCUCAAAAAUUUACAGCGCUCCUUAGGUCAAUUUAGGCUUUAACUGAAUCCUAAGGGAUGAGUUUAUGCAUUGGCAACAAGCAUUUUCCAGGCUUUUCCAGUAUCAUUCCUCUUUAAAAGAAGUGUUAGAAAAAUGACUUUUGUAUUUUCGUGAAUAAACAGGAUGAAAGUCAA